rnacentral:pre_miRNA from 14 species
GGUUGCAGGAUUCGCUCUCCUGUUGCUGCAGACAGUCAGAAGUUGGUCUGGCGUGAGAAUAGAUUCUCAGAUCAUCUCUUGGCUGAUGCCAGCUACCAGGGAAAAGCUGAGAAGCUGAU